rnacentral:lncRNA from 1 species
AAAAAUUCAAUUCCAAAUCCUUUAAAGUUAUAAACCAAAAGGAAAAUGCAAUGCAAAAUGAAUUAAGUUACAACCCAAAGGAAAAAUCCAAUUCAAAGUUAAUUAAAGUUACAAACUAAAACAAAAAUACAAUGCAAAAUGAAUUUAAGUUACAAUCCAAAGGACAAAUCCAAUUCAAAGUUAAUUAAACUUACAAACCAAAAGGAGAAC